rnacentral:sRNA from 2 species
UCGCGUCAAGCGCCGAAGGCAGGAGCGGGGGACCCAGGUAAGCGCCGGUCGGCACGACCGGCUCGGGGUGCAGCGGUGCGCGGGGGGACGUGAAGACGUUCUCGUGUCGCACGGCCGGGCAACUCACUUGGCCCGAACCCGACAGCUCACCUCGUAGGCGUCGGUGAGGAGAUCU